GACGAACGCUGGCGGCGUGCUUAACACAUGCAAGUCGAGCGGAAAGGCCCUUCGGGGUACUCGAGCGGCGAACGGGUGAGUAACACGUGAGUAAUCUGCCCUUCACUCUGGGAUAACUACCGGAAACGGUGGCUAAUACCGGAUACGACCACUGGACGCAUGUCCUGGUGGUGGAAAGCUUUUGCGGUGGGGGAUGUGCUCGCGGCCUAUCAGCUUGUUGGUGAGGUAAUGGCUCACCAAGGCUUCGACGGGUAGCCGGCCUGAGAGGGUGACCGGCCACACUGGGACUGAGACACGGCCCAGACUCCUACGGGAGGCAGCAGUGGGGAAUAUUGGACAAUGGGCGGAAGCCUGAUCCAGCAACGCCGCGUGAGGGAUGACGGCCUUCGGGUUGUAAACCUCUUUCGCCCAGGACGAAGCGCAAGUGACGGUACUGGGUAAAGAAGCACCGGCCAACUACGUG
rnacentral:rRNA from 1 species